rnacentral:rRNA from 1 species
GACGAACGCUGGCGGCGUGCUUAACACAUGCAAGUCGAACGCUGAAGCUCAGCUUUUGUUGGGUGGAUGAGUGGCGAACGGGUGAGUAACACGUGAGUAACCUGCCUCCUUCUUUGGGAUAACGCCCGGAAACGGGGGCUAUUAUUGGAUAUUCACUGGUCUUCGCAUGGGGGUUGGUGGGAAGGGUUUUUUUGGUGGGGGAUGGGCUCGCGGCCUAUCAGCUUGGUGGUGGGGUGAUGGCCUACCAAGGCUUUGACGGGUAGCCGGCCUGAGAGGGUGACCGGGCACAUUGGGACGGAGAUACGGCCCAGACUCCUACGGGAGGCAGCAGUGGGGAAUAUUGCACAAUGGGCGCAAGCCUGAUGCAGCGACGCCGCGUGAGGGAUGGAGGCCUUCGGGUUGUGAACCUCUUUCGCUCAUGGUCAAGCCGCAACAAUGGUUGUGGUGAGGGUAGUGGGUAAAGAAGCGCCGGCUAACUACGUG